rnacentral:rRNA from 1 species
UACGUAGGAGGCAAGCGUUAUCCGGAUUUACUGGGCGUAAAGAGGGCGCAGGCGGCUCUUCAAGUCGGAUGUAAAAUCUCCCGGCUCAACUGGGAGGGACCAUCCGAUACUGUUGGGCUAGAGUACAGCAGAGGGAGGUGGAAUUCCCGGUGUAGUGGUGAAAUGCGUAGAUAUCGGGAGGAACACCAGUGGCGAAGGCGACCUCCUGGGCUGUUACUGACGCUGAGGUCCAAAAGCGUGGGGAGCAAACAGGAUUAGAUACCCCCGUA